AAUUUUGGACAAUGGGGGCAACCCUGAUCCAGCCAUCCCGCGUGUGCGAUGAAGGCCUUCGGGUUGUAAAGCACUUUUGGCAGGGAAGAAAAGGCGCCGGUUAAUACCUGGCGCCGCUGACGGUACCUGCAGAAUAAGCACCGGCUAACUACGUGCCAGCAGCCGCGGUAAUACGUAGGGUGCAUGCGUUAAUCGGAAUUACUGGGCGUAAAGCGUGCGUAGGCGGUUUGGCGAGAAAGAUGUGAAAUCCCAGGGCUUAACCUUGGAACUGCAUUUUUAACUGCCAGGCUAGAGUAUGUCAGAGGGGGGUAGAAUUCCACGUGUAGCAGUGAAAUGCGUAGAGAUGUGGAGGAAUACCGAUGGCGAAGGCAGCCCCCUGGGAUAAUACUGACGCUCAGGCACGAAAGCGUGGGGAGCAAACAG
rnacentral:rRNA from 1 species